rnacentral:lncRNA from 1 species
GUGUGAAUCAUGGCAGUGCAGUGAAGGACGGUGAUUUACCGCUUUUGAGGGCAUGCAUGUAUAUGAUUAAGGGAUGGAGGUGAAGGACUCCAAGAUUUACUUCCUUCCCUUUCCAGCAGAGUUACCUGAGAGGAGUGAGUAAUGGGAUCAUUGGUAACACCACCGGCCCCUUUUCAAGAGACCAGUAAUCAAAACAGGAACACCAAACUGAGAAGAUUUCAGCUGGGAGAAUACAACUUUUGAUACUUUCUGGAUCUACCUCUUAGCACACAGGAGAGUCUUCAGAGUUUUCCUGUUUUAUUUUUUCAUGGAGAUUUUCGUUAAAAAGAUACUUCGGGUUUGACGUGACUAUCUUGGUGGUGGCAGUAGACUUCUCAUAUUAGAGAUAUGAUAAAAUGGUGAAAAGUUCCAAGCUCGUCCUCCUCUCCCAUCUAUGCCAGGGAAGAGGUUGAAGGCGGCUGCCUUGCAUCUUGUGAGACGCUGCCGUGUGAGAAGGCAGCAAGGAGGCCCACGUGUGAAGUGGAGACCCAGCCCCUACCUGACUCUGAAUCCGUCGGCUCCUUGUGUGAAGUGGAGACCCAGCCCCGACCUGACUCUGAAUCCAUCGGCUCCUUGUGUGAAGUGGAGACCCAGCCCCUACCUGACUCUGAAUCCGUCGGCUCCUUGUGUGAAGUGGAGACCCAGCCCCGACCUGACACUGAAUCCGUCGGCUCCUUGUGUGAAGUGGAGACCCAGCCCCGACCUGACACUGAAUCCGUCGGCUCCUUGUGUGAAGUGGAGACCCAGCCCCGACCUGACACUGAAUCCGUCGGCUCCUUGUGUGAAGUGGAGACCCAGCCCCGACCUGACACUGAAUCCGUCGGCUCCUUGUGUGAAGUGGAGACCCAGCCCCGACCUGACACUGAAUCCAUCGGCUCCUUGUGUGAAGUGGAGACCCAGCCCCUACCUGACUCUGAAUCCGUCGGCUCCUUGUGUGAAGUGGAGACCCAGCCCCUACCUGACUCUGAAUCCGUCGGCUCCUUGUGUGAAGUGGAGACCCAGCCCUACCUGA